AUCACAAAUGCUAGCUGCUCGUUAGGACAGGUGCCAGGCUUUGCCUCCUUUCAUAUUGAAUCUCUUGAGCCUACCAAAGAACAUAACCAAUAUAAGGAUACACUUCCCCUCUGUACUCCACUUUCCCGAAAAUCCAAUCCAUGAAUCUUUGCACAUUGUUAUAUAGGUGGUGAAGUUUUUACUUCCAUGCUUCAACUUGUAUUGUUAUAUAAAAGAGAGGAAUUCUCUUACCUACUGAAGAAUUCAAAGGAAAUGGGCUAUCUGCACGUCACUGUUGGUUUCAAUGCGAUGCAAUUUGUAUUGUUUUGUUCCAUGGAAUGGAUCUUAGUGUCUAUGAGAAAGUGGUUGCAAAGAUUCAUGGAUUGGAUUUUCGGGAAAGUGGAGUACAGAGGGGAAGUGUAUCCUUAUAUUGGUUAUGUUCUUUGGGAGGCUCAAGAGAUUCAAUAUGAAAGGAGGCAAAGCCUGGCACCUGUCCUAAGGAGCAGAUAGCAUUUGUGAUUGUUAUGUUCUGUGCUCAAAUCUGUUGCUUGUGUUUGGUACUAGAUCGUUGACCGGCGCGAUAAACCAUUGAUCAAUGUAUUUUGAUUACAAUCAAAUAUUAUAAAGAAAAAAGAAUAUAGUAUUAUAGUUUGCAUAUUUAAUUUAAGCCUAUGUAGAUCACAUUAUAUUUUAACACAUGAUAUAUUUGUAAAAA